rnacentral:rRNA from 1 species
CGGGGUGAGUAACACGUGGAUAACCUACCUAUAAGACUGGGAUAACUUCGGGAAACCGGAGCUAAUACCGGAUAAUAUUUUGAACCGCAUGGUUCAAAAGUGAAGACGGUCUUGCUGUCACUUAUAGAUGGAUCCGCGCUGCAUUAGCUAGUUGGUAAGGUAACGGCUUACCAAGGCAACGAUGCAUAGCCGACCUGAGGAGGGUGAUCGGCCACACUGGAACUGAGACACGGUCCAGACUCCUACGGGAGGCAGCAGC